rnacentral:rRNA from 1 species
GGCGGCAUGCCUAACACAUGCAAGUCGAACGCGUGUAGCAAUACACGAGUGGCGGACGGGUGAGUAACGCGUGGGAACCUGCCUUGGAGUGGGGGAUAACCGAGGGAAACCUCGGCUAAUACCGCAUACGACCUCCGGGUGAAAGAUUUAUCGCUCUGAGAUGGGCCCGCGUCGGAUUAGCUAGUUGGUGGGGUAACGGCCUACCAAGGCGAUGAUCCGUAGCUGGUCUGAGAGGAUGAUCAGCCACACUGGGACUGAGACACGGCCCAGACUCCUACGGGAGGCAGCAGUGGGGAAUAUUGGACAAUGGGGGCAACCCUGAUCCAGCAAUGCCGCGUGAGUGAUGAAGGCCUUAGGGUUGUAAAGCUCUUUCGCCCACGACGAUAAUGACGGUNGUGGGAGAAGAAGCCCUGGCUAACUUCGUGCCAGCAGCCGCGGUAAUACGAAGGGGGCAAGCGUUGUUCGGAAUUACUGGGCGUAAAGGGCGCGUANGCGGCGCCGGAAGUCAGGCGUGAAAGCCCCGGGCUCAACCUGGGAACAGCGCUUGAUACUCUGGUGCUUGA